rnacentral:lncRNA from 1 species
AGAUUGUCAACGUUAGCUUGAAUGGCUGAUGACUGUAGAGUCCUCAGGAACUUGAGAGGUUUCACUCUAAAGUCAGUAUUAGAGUAUUCGUCUUGUUGAUGUGGAAAACCGCAUUGGCUCACAGUUCCUAAAUUAUCCAGCCUUGAAAAAGCAAAAAUGAAAUCUAUCAGAAAUGUGGCUGCAGGACAUCGUUCUAUCAGCUCUUUCGAAGUGAUGGUCUCAGCUCUCUUCAUGGUGCUCAUGGUCCUCUCUGUUGGGUUAAUUGUGGUGUCCUGGCUGGCAGUUAAGGAAUCAGAAACAGAUGCAGCAGCACUGGGGAAAAGCCAUGAAGUCAGAGGGAGAUUUAAAAUAACAUCCGGAGUGACA